rnacentral:rRNA from 1 species
GAUGAACGCUGGCGGCGUGCCUAAUACAUGCAAGUCGAGCGAACGGACGAGAAGCUUGCUUUUCUGAUGUUAGCGGCGGACGGGUGAGUAACACGUGGAUAACCUACCUAUAAGACUGGGAUAACUUCGGGAAACCGGAGCUAAUACCGGAUAAUAUUUUGAACCGCAUGGUUCAAAAGUGAAAGACGGUCUUGCUGUCACUUAUAGAUGGAUCCGCGCUGCAUUAGCUAGUUGGUAAGGUAACGGCUUACCACGGCAACGAUGCAUAGCCGACCUGAGAGGGUGAUCGGCCACACUGGAGCUGAGACACGGUCAAGACUCCUACGGGAGGCAGCAGUAGGGAAUCGUCCGCAAUGGGCGAAAGCCUGACGGAGCAGCGCCGCGUGAGUGAUGAAGGUCUUCGGAUCGUAAAACUCUGUUAUGAGGGAAGAACAGAUGUGUAAGUAACUGUGGACAGCUUGACGGUACCUAAUCAGAAAGCCACGGCUAACUACGUG